GUUCCUCUUCAGAUAAAGGUCACAGAACGCACGUAAAAUUUAUGCGAUCUUAUACUCUCUCUGUCUCCAUGGAUACCCUUCUUUCCAAUUCCACGCUGUUGUUCAGAACCCCACUACUUCCAGUUCGUACAGUUGCUUCAACUCCUAAACUAAACUUUUCUUCAACUGUUUCGACUUCAAACAAUAUUGCUCAUCUCUUUUUCACAUCUCAUACUAAAGUUAAAGUAUCUCCCACAUCUCCCAAAUUCACCUGCGCUGCUUCUGGUGGCAUAAUUGAGAUUACCGAGAGUGAGUUUCCAAACACGGUCUUGAAAUCUGAUCGUCCGGUUCUUGUUGAGUUCGUGGCCAACUGGUGCGGUCCCUGCCGCUUGAUUGCUCCCGCCAUCCAAUGGGUCGCUCAGGAAUAUGGAGACAGACUGAUGGUUGUAAAGAUUGAUCAUGACGCAAACCCUCAACUAAUUGAGCAGUACAAAGUUUAUGGAUUGCCAACUUUGAUUCUCUUCAAGAAUGGGCAGGAAGUUCCAGAAAGCAGGAGAGAAGGCGCAAUUACAAAGGCUAAGCUCAAAGAGUAUCUUGAUUCUCUCUUGGAGUCAGCCUCAGUUGCAUAGUCCUCUUUCACAUUGCCAAACAAAUAUAUCUGCAGUCUUUGAGAUUCUGGCAUCUUCAACUAAAUGUCAAAUGUUGAGGAAAUUUCUGGCUUUGAGACAUCACUUACAUAUGACUCCUGCAAGAUUAAACGGCAGGGAUAACAGUUAAAUGUUGAGGACAGUUAUCUUUGCUUGUGGUAAGUUGGACGCUGCCAGAGGUAGGUGGAGAGUCAUCAGGAAUGUAUAUUUUCCACCACCCAUGUGCGCUCCACAUUAUAUUCAUUUCUUCAAAGGGCACUCCUUUGGUCUCAGGCAAGAACAAGUAUACGAAAUCCGUCAUUAUCAACAACAAUACAACGAAGAAGAAGAAGAAGAAGAAGAAGAACAGACCAAACUAAGGUGGCAGAGCAUUGAGAGGAAGGCUUGAGCAAUAAGCAAUGUGAAGAGCAUAUAUUGUUUGCAAGAUCUCUAAGUAAUUUGUUGCUUUCACUGAUGAAAUUAUAACGUUUGUAUUUAUAUAGGUUUGAAGAUGGCUCUUGCCUAUAACCGUGAAAUGCUCACUGGUAUUUCGAGUUCUCCCUAUAGUCAUUUUUCAACCAUGAAAUUUGUAGAAGAAGGCCAAAAUCCCAUUUUCCACUCAGAGUUUUGUAAUAUGACAUUCCAACCCUUUAAGUUUGAAAAGUCUAACUUGCCACCCGUUA